UACGUAGGGUGCGAGCGUUAAUCGGAAUUACUGGGCGUAAAGCGUGCGCAGGCGGUUUUGUAAGACAGGCGUGAAAUCCCCGGGCUCAACCUGGGAAUGGCGCUUGUGACUGCAAGGCUGGAGUGCGGCAGAGGGGGAUGGAAUUCCGCGUGUAGCAGUGAAAUGCGUAGAUAUGCGGAGGAACACCGAUGGCGAAGGCAAUCCCCUGGGCCUGCACUGACGCUCAUGCACGAAAGCGUGGGGAGCAAACAGG
rnacentral:rRNA from 2 species